CAGGUCAGAGAGAAGGAAAUACUUUUCUGGGACCUGACUGGCAUGCCAACAAUAUCAGUCUAGCAAUCUAUACCCGAAAUUGCCGGAAGCCGACACACACACACACAUCCAUCCAGCUCUGCUCCUUUCUCUACCAUUACUAUAUUCUCAAGUAGUCAAGUACUAAGCAAACCCAGACAAGAAGGGAAUUAUGAAAAACCAGCUCAUUACAAAACAUCAAAAGGCAGUUUAAUGAUACAUGAAAGAGGUCCAACGCAAUGACCCAGAAACAGGUUUUCUACGCUCUAAAAUGCCAAGAAAAACAAUGCAACACACCCCCCCCACACACACACACACACACUCUCUCUCUCUCUUUAAAUCAAUUCUAUCAUGUGGCCUAGCCCCAAAUUAAAAAACUGAUCGCUGAUUUCCAAAAUAUCACUCUUGUACCUUCUUUCAAAUCCCCUACUUCACCAAACAAGUGAAAAAACUUUCUGGACACUAGUUUUACCUGUUGGGGG